rnacentral:rRNA from 1 species
GAUGAACGCUGGCGGCGUGCCUAAUACAUGCAAGUCGAGCGAACGGACGAGAAGCUUGCUUCUCUGAUGUUAGCGGCGGACGGGUGAGUAACACGUGGAUAACCUACCUAUAAGACUGGGAUAACUUCGGGAAACCGGAGCUAAUACCGGAUAAUAUUUUGAACCGCAUGGUUCAAAAGUAAAAGACGGUCUUGCUGUCACUUAUAGAUGGAUCCGCGCUGCAUUAGCUAGUUGGUAAGGUAACGGCUUACCAAGGCAACGAUGCAUAGCCGACCUGAGAGGGUGAUCGGCCACACUGGAACUGAGACACGGUCCAGACUCCUACGGGAGGCAGCAGUAGGGAAUCUUCCGCAAUGGGUGAAAGCCUGACGGAGCAACGCCGCGUGAGUGAUGAAGGUCUUCGGAUCGUAAAACUCUGUUAUUAGGGAAGAACAUAUGUGUAAGUAACUGUGCACAUCUUGACGGUACCUAAUCAGAAAGCCACGGCUAACUACGUG